rnacentral:miRNA from 1 species
GCGUCUUUAGCUCAAUAAA